GGAUGCGAUCAUACCAGCACUAAAGCACCGGAUCCAUCAGAACUCCGCAGUUAAGCGUGCUUGGGCGAGAGUAGUACUAGGAUGGGUGACCCCCUGGGAAGUCCUCGUGUUGCAUCCC
rfam:Ananas comosus cultivar MD2 ACMD2_Scaffold_5504, whole genome shotgun sequence.